UCCGAUAUGGUGUAGUGGCUAACAUUAUCGCCUCUCAUCUAUGUGGUCGCGAUAGCCCGGGGUUCGAUUCCCCGUGUCGGAA
rfam:Postia placenta Mad-698-R POSPLscaffold_21_Cont1462, whole genome shotgun sequence.